rnacentral:rRNA from 1 species
CCCUACGGGGGGCAGCAGUGGGGAAUUUUGGACAAUGGGCGCAAGCCUGAUCCAGCAAUGCCGCGUGAGUGAAGAAGGCCUUCGGGUUGUAAAGCUCUUUUGUCAGGGAAGAAACGGCCGUGGCUAAUAUCCAUGGCUAAUGACGGUACCUGAAGAAUAAGCACCGGCUAACUACGUGCCAGCAGCCGCGGUAAUACGUAGGGUGCAAGCGUUAAUCGGAAUUACUGGGCGUAAAGCGUGCGCAGGCGGUUUUGUAAGUCUGACGUGAAAUCCCCGGGCUCAACCUGGGAAUUGCGUUGGAGACUGCAAGGCUGGAAUCUGGCAGAGGGGGGUAGAAUUCCACGUGUAGCAGUGAAAUGCGUAGAGAUGUGGAGGAACACCGAUGGCGAAGGCAGCCCCCUGGGUCAAGAUUGACGCUCAUGCACGAAAGCGUGGGGAGCAAACAGGAUUAGAUACCCGUGUAGUCCA